GAUGAACGCUAGCGGCAGGCUUAACACAUGCAAGUCGAGGGGCAGCAUGAACCGACCUUCGGGAAGGUUUGAUGGCGACCGGCGCAAGGGUGCGUAACGCGUGAGCAACUUGCCCGUUUCAGGGGGAUAACCGGUGGAAACGCCGACUAAUACCCCAUGGUAUUGAGUUUAGGCAUCUUUACUCAAUUAAAGAAUUUCGGAAACGGAUAGGCUCGCGUGACAUUAGCUUGAUGGCGGGGUAACGGCCCACCAUGGCUACGAUGUCUAGGGGUUCUGAGAGGAAGGUCCCCCACACUGGAACUGAGACACGGUCCAGACUCCUACGGGAGGCAGCAGUGAGGAAUAUUGGUCAAUGGUCUGACGACUGAACCAGCCAUGCCGCGUGAAGGUCACGGCCCUAUGGGUCUUAAACUUCUUUGUAAGGGAGCAAUAAGUCCCACGUGUGGGAUGAUGAGAGUACCUUACGAAUAAGCAUCGGCUAACUCCGUGCCAGCAGCCGCGGU
rnacentral:rRNA from 1 species